rnacentral:rRNA from 1 species
GACGAACGCUGGCGGCGUGCUUAACACAUGCAAGUCGAACGGAAAGGCCCUGCUUUUGUGGGGUGCUCGAGUGGCGAACGGGUGAGUAACACGUGAGUAACCUGCCCUUGACUUUGGGAUAACUUCGGGAAACUGGGGCUAAUACCGGAUAGGAGCUCCUGCUGCAUGGUGGGGGUUGGAAAGUUUCGGCGGUUGGGGAUGGACUCGCGGCUUAUCAGCUUGUUGGUGGGGUAGUGGCUUACCAAGGCUUUGACGGGUAGCCGGCCUGAGAGGGUGACCGGCCACAUUGGGACUGAGAUACGGCCCAGACUCCUACGGGAGGCAGCAGUGGGGAAUAUUGCACAAUGGGCGGAAGCCUGAUGCAGCAACGCCGCGUGCGGGAUGACGGCCUUCGGGUUGUAAACCGCUUUCGCCUGUGACGAAGCGUGAGUGACGGUAAUGGGUAAAGAAGCACCGGCUAACUACGUGCCAGCAGCCGCGGUGAUACGUAGGGUGCGAGCGUUGUCCGGAUUUAUUGGGCGUAAAGGGCUCGUAGGUGGUUGAUCGCGUCGGAAGUGUAAUCUUGGGGCUUAACCCUGAGCGUGCUUUCGAUACGGGUUGACUUGAGGAAGGUAGGGGAGAAUGGAAUUCCUGGUGGAGCGGUGGAAUGCGCAGAUAUCAGGAGGAACACCAGUGGCGAAGGCGGUUCUCUGGGCCUUUCCUGACGCUGAGGAGCGAAAGCGUGGGGAGCGAACAGGCUUAGAUACCCUGGUAGUCCACGCUGUAAACGGUGGGUACUAGGUGUGGGGUCCAUUCCACGGGUUCCGUGCCGUAGCUAACGCUUUAAGUACCCCGCCUGGGGAGUACGGCCGCAAGGCUAAAACUCAAAGGAAUUGACGGGGCCCCGCACAAGCGGCGGAGCAUGCGGAUUAAUUCGAUGCAACGCGUAGAACCUUACCUGGGUUUGACAUGGAUCGGGAGCGCUCAGAGAUGGGUGUGCCUCUUUUGGGGUCGGUUCACAGGUGGUGCAUGGCUGUCGUCAGCUCGUGUCGUGAGAUGUUGGGUUAAGUCCCGCAACGAGCGCAACCCUUGUUCACUGUUGCCAGCACGUUAUGGUGGGGACUCAGUGGAGACCGCCGGGGUCAACUCGGAGGAAGGUGGGGAUGACGUCAAGUCAUCAUGCCCCUUAUGUCCAGGGCUUCACGCAUGCUACAAUGGCUGGUACAGAGAGUGGCGAGCCUGUGAGGGUGAGCGAAUCUCGGAAAGCCGGUCUCAGUUCGGAUUGGGGUCUGCAACUCGACCUCAUGAAGUCGGAGUCGCUAGUAAUCGCAGAUCAGCAACGCUGCGGUGAAUACGUUCCCGGGGCU